AACGAACGCUGGCGGCAUGCCUAACACAUGCAAGUCGAACGAGACCUUCGGGUCUAGUGGCGCACGGGUGCGUAACGCGUGGGAACCUGCCCUUAGGUUCGGAAUAACUCCCCGAAAGGGGUGCUAAUACCGGAUAAUGUCUUCGGACCAAAGAUUUAUCGCCUUUGGAUGGGCCCGCGUUGGAUUAGCUAGUUGGUAGGGUAAAAGCCUACCAAGGCGACGAUCCAUAGCUGGUGUGAGAGGAUGAUCAGCCACACUGGGACUGAGACACGGCCCAGACUCCGACGGGAGGCAGCAGUGGGGAAUAUUGGACAAUGGGCGAAAGCCUGAUCCAGCAAUGCCGCGUGAGUGAUGAAGGCCUUAGGGUUGUAAAGCUCUUUUACCCGGGAUGAUAAUGACAGUACCGGGAGAAUAAGCUCCGGCUAACUCCGUG
rnacentral:rRNA from 1 species